rfam:Fulmarus glacialis contig50701, whole genome shotgun sequence.
GCAAAGGAUUUUUUUAAAUCCAAAGUACAUUGUUAUGGUAUAUGUA